AUUGGAAUGAAUUUAGUAGAUAUGAAUGUAGCUUGUUAAGAUCAAAUUUAGAAGCUACAAGCGAGAUACUACACUCUUGAGUUCUCUAACUAGAUAUUUCAAAUUCCUUAUUACAAAGGCACAACAAAUAACAAUGUCAUCCAUCUUUCUUUCAUCCACAUCAAAAUAAAGAACUAAUCCAUUUGUUGAUAAUUCAUUGUUCCUACUUCCCAGGCCUAAAUCACUAUCUACCAUCCAAAUGAUAUUUUUACUUCUCAAUCCUAAUGGUAUUUUUACUGGAUAAACCAACCCAAAAUUAUCAGACUU
rnacentral:lncRNA from 1 species